AAGAAAGUGGCAGAACGGCUAUGUGGUUGGCUUGAAACCAGUUUAUGGGGGUUCGAUUCCCUCCUUUCUCG
rnacentral:tRNA from 1 species